rnacentral:rRNA from 1 species
GACGAACGCUGGCGGUGUGCCUAAUACAUGCAAGUCGAACGGAAAGGCCCUGCUUUUGUUGGUUGCUCGAGUGGCGAACGGGUGAGUAUCACGCGAGUAACCUGCCCUUGACUUUGUGAUAUCUUCAGGAAACUGGGGCUAUUACCGGAUAUGAGCUCCUGCUGCAUGGUGGGGGUUGGUAAGUUUCGGCGUUUCUGGAUCGACUCGCAGCUUAUCAGUUUGUUUGUGGAGUAGUGGCUUACCAAGGCUUUGACGGCUAGCCUGCCUGGGGGGGUGACCGGCCACAUGGGGACUAAGAGACGGCGCAGACGCCUACGGGAGGCAGCAGUGGAGAGUAUUGCACAGUGGGCGGAAGCGUGAUGAAGCAACGCCGCGUGCGGGAUAACGGCCUUCGGGUUGUAAACCGCUUUCGCCUGUGACGAAGCGUGAGUGACGGUAAUGGGUAAAGAAGCACCGGCUAACUACGUG